AGACAGACAUUAAAAAUACAGGACAAAACUAACAGGACAAAAUUGACAGGUGUAAGACAGAAAAUAAAGCCGUUACAAUUUCUACAUACA